rnacentral:rRNA from 1 species
GAACGCUAGCUACAGGCUUAACACAUGCAAGUCGAGGGGCAGCAUGGUCUUAGCUUGCUAAGGCCGAUGGCGACCGGCGCACGGGUGAGUAACACGUAUCCAACCUGCCGUCUACUCUUGGACAGCCUUCUGAAAGGAAGAUUAAUACAAGAUGGCAUCAUGAGUCCGCAUGUUCACAUGAUUAAAGGUAUUCCGGUAGACGAUGGGGAUGCGUUCCAUUAGAUAGUAGGCGGGGUAACGGCCCACCUAGUCUUCGAUGGAUAGGGGUUCUGAGAGGAAGGUCCCCCACAUUGGAACUGAGACACGGUCCAAACUCCUACGGGAGGCAGCAGUGAGGAAUAUUGGUCAAUGGGCGAGAGCCUGAACCAGCCAAGUAGCGUGAAGGAUGACUGCCCUAUGGGUUGUAAACUUCUUUUAUAAAGGAAUAAAGUCGGGUAUGGAUACCCGUUUGCAUGUACUUUAUGAAUAAGGAUCGGCUAACUCCGUGCCAGCAGCCGCGGUAAUACGGAGGAUCCGAGCGUUAUCCGGAUUUAUUGGGUUUAAAGGGAGCGUAGAUGGAUGUUUAAGUCAGUUGUGAAAGUUUGCGGCUCAACCGUAAAAUUGCAGUUGAUACUGGAUAUCUUGAGUGCAGUUGAGGCAGGCGGAAUUCGUGGUGUAGCGGUGAAAUGCUUAGAUAUCACGAAGAACUCCGAUUGCGAAGGCAGCCUGCUAAGCCGCAACUGACAUUGAGGCUCGAAAGUGUGGGUAUCAAACAGGAUUAGAUACCCUGGUAGUCCACACGGUAAACGAUGAAUACUCGCUGUUUGCGAUAUACAGCAAGCGGCCAAGCGAAAGCGUUAAGUAUUCCACCUGGGGAGUACGCCGGCAACGGUGAAACUCAAAGGAAUUGACGGGGGCCCGCACAAGCGGAGGAACAUGUGGUUUAAUUCGAUGAUACGCGAGGAACCUUACCCGGGCUUAAAUUGCAGAUGAAUUACGGUGAAAGCCGUAAGCCGCAAGGCAUCUGUGAAGGUGCUGCAUGGUUGUCGUCAGCUCGUGCCGUGAGGUGUCGGCUUAAGUGCCAUAACGAGCGCAACCCUUGUUGUCAGUUACUAACAGGUUCCGCUGAGGACUCUGACAAGACUGCCAUCGUAAGAUGUGAGGAAGGUGGGGAUGACGUCAAAUCAGCACGGCCCUUACGUCCGGGGCUACACACGUGUUACAAUGGGGGGUACAGAGGGCCGCUACCACGCGAGUGGAUGCCAAUCCCCAAAACCUCUCUCAGUUCGGACUGGAGUCUGCAACCCGACUCCACGAAGCUGGAUUCGCUAGUAAUCGCGCAUCAGCCACGGCGCGGUGAAUACGUUCCCGGGCCUUGUACACACCGCCCGUCAAGCCAUGGGAGCCGGGGGUACCUGAAGUGCGUAACCGCGAGGAGCGCCCUAGGGUAAAACUGGUGACUGGGGC